rnacentral:sRNA from 1 species
CCGCAUGGAGAUCACCAUAAGGAACUCCCCGUACAGAAGAGAAGACUCCAUGGAAGACAGGGGGAAUGAUGGCGUGUGCCUCCUGCAGGGACCGCUUGGAGCAGUUAGAAAGGAAGCGGGAGCGGGAGCGCAAGAUGCGGGAGCAGCAGAAGGAGCAGCGGGAGCAGAAGGAGCGCGAGCGGCGGGCGGAGGAGCGGCGCAAGGAGCGAGAAGCCCGCAGGGAAGUGUCUGCACAUCACCGAACGAUGAGAGAGGACUACAGCGACAAAGUGAAAGCCAGCCACUGGAGUCGCAGCCCGCCUCGGCCGCCGCGGGAGCGGUUCGAGUUGGGAGACAGCCGGAAGCCAGUAAAAAGAAGAGAAAAUGGAAGAAAGAACCUGCUGUCCGACUUACAGGACAUCAGCGACAGCGAGAGGAAGACCAGCUCGGCCGAGUCCUCGUCAGCGGAGUCAGGCUCAGGUUCUGAGGAGGAAGAGGAGGAGGAGGAAGAGGAGGAGGAGGAAGGGAGCACCAGUGAAGAAUCAGAGGAGGAGGAGGAGGAAGAGGAAGAGGAGGAGGAAGAGACUGGCAGCAACUCUGAGGAGGCGUCAGAGCAGUCUGCCGAAGAAGUAAGUGAGGAAGAAAUGAGUGAAGAUGAAGAACGAGAAAAUGAAAACCACCUCUUGGUUGUUCCAGAGUCACGGUUCGACCGAGAUUCCGGGGAGAGUGAAGAAGCAGAGGAAGAAGUGGGUGAGGGGACGCCGCAGAGCAGCGCCCUGACAGAGGGCGACUAUGUGCCCGACUCCCCCGCCCUGUCGCCCAUCGAGCUCAAGCAGGAGCUGCCCAAGUACCUGCCGGCCCUGCAGGGCUGCCGGAGUGUCGAGGAGUUUCAGUGCCUGAACAGGAUCGAGGAGGGCACCUAUGGAGUGGUCUACAGAGCAAAAGACAAGAAAACAGAUGAAAUUGUGGCUCUAAAGCGGCUGAAGAUGGAGAAGGAGAAGGAGGGCUUCCCGAUCACGUCACUGAGGGAGAUCAACACCAUCCUCAAGGCCCAGCAUCCCAACAUCGUCACCGUUAGAGAGAUCGUGGUGGGCAGCAACAUGGACAAGAUCUACAUCGUGAUGAACUACGUGGAGCACGACCUCAAGAGCCUCAUGGAGACUAUGAAACAGCCCUUCCUGCCAGGGGAGGUGAAGACCCUGAUGAUCCAGCUGCUGCGGGGGGUGAAGCACCUGCACGACAACUGGAUCCUGCACCGUGACCUCAAGACGUCCAACCUGCUGCUGAGCCACGCCGGCAUCCUCAAGGUGAGCCCCCCUCCGAGUGGCCCACCCCAGGGUGACCUGCGCGGGCCCACCCACAGCCGCCCAUCUGUCAUUGCAGGUGGGUGACUUCGGGCUGGCACGGGAGUACGGAUCCCCUCUGAAGGCCUACACCCCGGUCGUGGUGACCCUGUGGUACCGUGCCCCAGAGCUGCUGCUUGGUGCCAAGGAAUACUCCACAGCUGUGGACAUGUGGUCAGUGGGCUGCAUCUUCGGGGAGCUGCUGACUCAGAAGCCUCUGUUCCCCGGGAAGUCGGAAAUCGAUCAGAUCAACAAAGUGUUUAAGGAUCUGGGGACCCCCAGUGAGAAAAUUUGGCCUGGCUACAGUGAGCUCCCAGCAGUGAAGAAGAUGACCUUCAGCGAGCACCCCUACAACAACCUCCGCAAGCGCUUCGGGGCUCUGCUGUCAGACCAGGGCUUCGACCUCAUGAACAAGUUCCUGACCUACUUCCCCGGGAGGAGGAUCAGCGCGGAGGACGGCCUCAAGCACGAGUAUUUCCGCGAGACCCCCCUGCCCAUCGACCCCUCCAUGUUCCCCACGUGGCCCGCCAAGAGUGAGCAGCAGCGUGUGAAGCGGGGCACCAGCCCAAGGCCCCCUGAGGGAGGCCUGGGCUACAGCCAGCUGGUGAGGGGCCUGGCGGGUGAGGCGUGCCCACAGGUGGGGCUGGCUUGGGCAGGGUCCUCACGGUAGCCGACUCGUCCCAGGGCGACGACGACCUGAAGGAGACGGGCUUCCACCUUACCACCACGAACCAGGGGGCCUCCGCUGCGGGCCCCGGCUUCAGCCUCAAGUUCUGAAGGUCGGAGUGGACCCGUCAUGGGG